CGGCUCUGCCUGCAUCUCCUGGGGUUCCCCAGAGCAUGGCUAGAACCACACAGGCCCUGGGGUAAUCACCCUGACCCCAGUGCUCAGCUCUGUGCCCACAAGUCCUGCCCUUGGCCUCCGGACCAGCUUGGAGCAUCUUUGGUUGAGAGCCCUACCUCUUCUAGGAAGUAAAAAUACUAACGCCUGUACAGUACUCGCCAAGUGUGCUGGACCUCGUGCUAAGUUCUCCUGUAUAGGUUCCCUCACAUGAUCUCCAGGACGACCGGAUGAGG